UACGGGGGGGGCAAGCGUUGUUCGGAAUUACUGGGCGUAAAGGGCUCGUAGGCGGCCAACUAAGUCAGACGUGAAAUCCCUCGGCUUAACCGGGGAACGGCCUCUGAUACUGGCUGGCUGGAGUUCGGGAGAGGGAUGCGGAAUUCCAGGUGUAGCGGUGAAAUGCGUAGAUAUCUGGAGGAACACCGGUGGCGAAGGCGGCAUCCUGGACCGACACUGACGCUGAGGAGCGAAAGCGUGGGGAGCGAACAGG
rnacentral:rRNA from 1 species